CCCACAUCUUCUGGAUUACCGGUCCAGGGCUCUCGUUGGAAGGGAAGACGUUGGAGAGGCGUGCUAGAUCAGGACCGGCAAUCCGGAAGAUGUUGGUUCGAGUCCUACACCUGGCUAAGAUUUUCAGUGACUUACUUCUUUCAUUAUUCUUAGGCACUUGAAGCUCUGUGUGCUGUCCUUCCUUCUGCGUUCCAGCCUCAGGACAUUAAUUUCCAUCAUGUUGUGAGGGCUGAACAAAAACGAAUUUUCUGCAGUGUGACUCAGCGUCUAACGUGGAACGCAUGAACACAGGUAUAUGAGCCAGCACGAUGAGAGAGACCCACCAGAGCUCUGAGACCCACCGACCACGAGCGCCAGCACGACGUGAUAACUGUCAGCGCCGCGAAGCGACAGUGGCCAUGAGCGGCGUGUACAGACAUGGACAGAUGGAGAGAAGACAGCAGGAAGGAAUGGUGAAAACUGAGGUUGGUAUAGUAUAUGCAAGCUGCCGUAUAUCUGUAGUUGACAGACCAGACCAAACGCAGCAGCGCCGCGGGUGAAGCACCUGAAAAUAUACGGGAUCGUCUGCCAACACAUAUGCUGCUCGGCAUUGUGCCGUACAUCUUGUCCACGCGUCCAGCGAGGAAACACUGCUCGACACCCACUGUCACAAUA